rnacentral:tRNA from 1 species
GGAUUGUGGCUCAGUGGUAAAGCGCUCACCUAGCACAUGUGAGGCCCUGGGUUUGAUCCUCGGCACCA